AAGUUGGUUCAGGGUUAAACAUGAAAAGUUGGUUGAGGGUUAAACCUUGAGAACCAGGUCCAGGGCUAAAACCUUGAGAACCUGGUCCAGGGCUAAACCUUUAGAACCUGGUCGAGGGUUAAAGGUGAGGAGUUGGUCGAGGGUUAAAGGUGAGGAGUUGGUCGAGGGCUACAGGUGAGGAGUUGGUCGAGGGCUACAGGUGAGGAGUUGGUCGAGGGCUAAAGGUGAGGAGUUGGUCGAGGGUUAAAGGUGAGGAGUUGGUCGAGGGUUAAAGGUGAGGAGUUGUUCGAGGGUUAAAGGUGAGGAGUUGGUCGAGGGUUAAAGGUGAGGAGUUGGUCGAGGGUUAAAGGUGAGGAGUUGGUCGAGGGUUAAAGGUGAGGAGUUGGUCGAGGGUUAAAGGUGAGGAGUUGGUCGAGGGUUAAAGGUGAGGAGUUGGUCGAGGGUUAAAGGUGAGGAGUUGGUCGAGGGUUAAAGGUGAGGAGUUGGUCGAGGGUUAAAGGUGAGGAGUUGGUCGAGGGUUAAAGGUGAGGAGUUGGUCGAGGGUUAAAGGUGAGGAGUUGGUCGAGGGUUAAAGGUGAGGAGUUGGUCGAGGGUUAAAGGUGAGGAGUUGGUCGAGGGUUAAAGGUGAGGAGUUGGUCGAGGGUUAAAGGUGAGGAGUUGGUCGAGGGUUAAAGGUGAGGAGUUGGUCGAGGGUUAAAGGUGAGGAGUUGGUCGAUGGUUAAAGGUGAGGAGUUGGUCGAUGGUUAAAGGUGAGGAGUUGGUCGAGGGCUAAAGGUGAGGAGUUGGUCGAGGGCUAAAGGUGAGGAGUUGGUCGAUGGUUAAAGGUGAGGAGUUGGUCGAGGGCUAAAGGUGAGGAGUUGGUCGAGGGCUAAAGGUGAGGAGUUGGUCGAGGGCUAAAGGUGAGGAGUUGGUCGAGGGCUAAAGGUGAGGAGUUGGUCGAGGGUUAAAGGUGAGGAGUUGGUCGAGGGUUAAAGGUGAUGAGUUGGUCGAGGGCUAAAGGUGAGGAGUUGGUAGAGGGCUAAAGAUGAUGAGUUGGUCGAGGGCUAAAGGUGAGGAGUUGGUCGAGGGCUAAAGGUGAGGAGUUGGUCGAGGGUUAAAGGUGAGGAGUUGGUCGAGGGCUAAAGGUGAGGAGUUGGUCGAGGGCUAAAGGUGAGGAGUUGGUCGAGGGUUAAAGGUGAGGAGUUGGUCGAGGGUUAAAGGUGAGGAGUUGGUCGAGGGUUAAAGGUGAGGAGUUGGUCGAGGGCUAAAGGUGAGGAGUUGGUCGAGGGCUAAAGGUGAGGAGUUGGUCGAGGGUUAAAGGUGAGGAGUUGGUAGAGGGCUAAAGGUGAGGAGUUGGUAGAGGGCUAAAGGUGAGGAGUUGGUAGAGGGCUAAAGGUGAGGAGUUGGUCGAGGGCUAAAGGUGAGGAGUUGGUCGAUGGUUAAAGGUGAGGAGUUGGUCGAGGGUUAAAGGUGGGGAGUUGGUCGAGGGUUAAAGGUGGGGAGUUGGUCGAGGGUUAAAGGUGAGGAGUUGGUCGAUGGUUAAAGGUGAGGAGUUGGUCGAGGGUUAAAGGUGAUGAGUUGGUCGAGGGCUAAAGGUGAGGAGUUGGUAGAGGGCUAAAGAUGAUGAGUUGGUCGAGGGCUAAAGAUGAUGAAUUGGUGGAGGGUUAAAGGUGAGGAGUUGGUC